AUUAAAUCAGUGAAGAAGAGUAGUAGGUUCCCUCUAUGUUUAAAGAGAGUUUGUGGGUGGUGUGAACAAACAACAUAAGGAAUUGAAUGGACUUCUGAGUGUAUAGGUGAAAUGAUAGUAACCUAUAACGUUAUCAAGCGUUAAUUGAUUCAUACUUUUGUAUGACGUUGAGUGGCUCUAGUACGUAGAGCACUUAGGGUGGUACCGCGGAUCUAAACCAUUCGUCCCUAUU
rnacentral:ncRNA from 1 species